AUACGUAGGGGGCGAGCGUUGUCCGGAAUGAUUGGGCGUAAAGGGCGCGUAGGCGGCGCGGUAAGUCUGGAGUGAAAGUCCUGCUUUCAAGGUGGGAAUUGCUUUGGAUACUGCCGCGCUUGAGUGCAGGAGAGGUUAUCGGAAUUCCCGGUGUAGCGGUGAAAUGCGUAGAGAUCGGGAGGAACACCAGUGGCGAAGGCGGGUAACUGGACUGCAACUGACGCUGAGGCGCGAAAGUGUGGGGAGCAAACGGGAUUAGAUACCCUGGUAGUCCACACUGUAAACGAUGAAUGCUAGGUGUAAGAGGUAUCGACCCCUUUUGUGCCGGAGUCAACACAAUAAGCAUUCCGCCUGGGGAGAACGGCCGCAAGGUUGAAACUCAAAUGAAUUGACGAGG
rnacentral:rRNA from 1 species